UACGAAGGGGGCUAGCGUUGCUCGGAAUCACUGGGCGUAAAGCGCACGUAGGCGGAUUGCUAAGUCAGGGGUGAAAUCCUGGAGCUCAACUCCAGAACUGCCUUUGAUACUGGCGAUCUUGAGUCCGGGAGAGGUGAGUGGAACUGCGAGUGUAGAGGUGAAGUGCGCAGAUAUCAGGAGGAACACCGAUUGCGAAGGCAGCUCGCUGGGACGUAACUGACGCUGAGACGCGAAAGCGUGGGGAGCAAACAGG
rnacentral:rRNA from 1 species